rnacentral:rRNA from 1 species
UAGAAGCAGCCACCAUUUAAAGAGUGCGUAACAGCUCACUGGUCGAGAAUUUUGGCGCCGAUAAUGAUCGGGAAUCAAGUUUCGUACCGAAGCCGUGGACGAAAGUGGUAGCGGAGCGUUGCUGUCAGCGCUGAAGGCGUCUCGUGAGGGACGUUGGAGCGGCAGCAAGUGAAUAUGCAGGAUUGAGUAACGAUAAACGGAGUGAGAAUCUCCGUCGCCGAAAGCCUAAGGGUUCCUGGGGAAGGGAAAUCCGCCCAGGGUAAGGCGGGACCUAAGACGAGCCCGACAGGGGUAGUCGAUGGACAGCCGGUUAAUAUUCCGGCCCUCACGGUGAGAUCAAAGCGAAGUGCGGAUUCGAAAGCUACACGGGACAGUGAAGCGUCCGGCAGUGGGUGGAAGAGUUCCAAGAAAAGCUUCGUGGGCAAUCCGUGACCCGUACUAAAACUGACACAGGUAGGCGUGGUGAAUAACCUCAGGCGCUCGAGAGAAUGGUUGUGAAGGAACUAGGCAAAUUGACCCCGUACGUUCGCAAUAAGGGGGCCCUACCGGAAACGGAGGGCGCAGAGAAAAGGCGCUGACGACUGUUUAUCAAAAACACAGCACUGUGCAAACUCGAAAGAGGACGUAUACAGUGUGACGCCUGCUCGGUGCCAGAAUGUCAAGGAAGUAGGUUAGCUCCGGCGAAGCUUACAACCGAAGCACUGGUAAACAGCGGCCGUAACUAUGACGGUCCUAAGGUAGCGAAAUUCCUUGUCGGGUAAGUUCCGACGCGCAUGAAUGGCGUAACGAUUGGCGCACUGUCUCCACAACCAACUCGGUGAAAUAGUAGUGGCGGUGAAGAUGCCGCCUUACCGUGGCAAGACGGAAAGACCCCGUGGACCUUUACUGUAGGCUUGUAUUGAUCACGAUUCUGUGAUGCGUAGGAUAGGUGGGAGGCUUUGAAGCCGGGAUUUCGGUCCUGGUGGAGCCGUUGGUGAAAUACCACUCUUUGCUUUGUCGUGAUCUAACCCUGACUCCCAUGAAGCUGGGCAGGGAACCGUGCAUGCCGGGCAGUUUGACUGGGGCGGUCUCCUCCUAAAGUGUAACGGAGGAGCACAAAGGUCGGCUCAACGCGGUUGGAAACCGUGUUUCGAGUGUAAGAGCACAAGCCGGCUUUACUGCGAGACAAACAGGUCGAGCA